ACCCACCCCAUAAAGUCGAGCUAAAAAUAGCAGUGGGUCAUCCAAGCUGUUUAGCAGGCGAUAGGCAUCCAUCCCCGAAACCUGCGUAUCUCCCUUCUUUAGAAAAAAAAAAAGAAAAAUAUUUUUUACAGUCAACAAAUACAAUUGACGUGUAGUCAUAAAGAAAAAAAUAAAUUAAUACGGGAUCUAUAUAAAAAAAAUUAUUUUUUUAACUUUCUUUUAUUUAUGUAGGUUCCCUUGAAUAUAAAAAAAAAUUUUAUAAUUUUUUUUAUUCAUUCUAUACAGUCGACUGCACGCCAAUUGUAUUUACCGACUACAUCUAGCAAAGCCGGAAAAAAAAAGCCUAGCCUCUCUCUCUCUCUCCGACCGUAGCUCCAAGAUCGAUUAGAUUUGCUGAGUUGAGAAACAACGACGGAAAGAUUUAUCAGCACUUGGCUAUGAAUGAAGAAGUGUGAGGAGAGCAUCCCUCUAUUCCAUUUCUCCUUGUUUUUCAUGUUCUUAUUCUGUCCUUUGGUCUUCUCAUAACAGAAAUCUCUCUUUCAAGCUUUUCCCUCUCUUCCUCAAACUUUCUGCCUCAUCUUUGCUAGAUAGAUUCUUUGAGGAGUAUUGAUGUCUCCAACAACGUUUUGACCUUAAUCCCGGAAGGACUCAUCAAGGGUUGCGAUGAUAUUGGAGGGCUGGAGCUCUUGAAUAUUAGCAUAAACAGAAAAUACAAGGGGUAUUCGAGGUACCUAGAACGUCCAUGAAAGAACAAUAACUUCAGGGGGCAAAUCCCAGCAGCCAUUUCAAAUAUCAGGACCCUUUCAUGUUUUGCAGCAAUCAAAACAACUUUGAAGUGACACAACCUGGGCAAGGCCUUCCUUAGGCUCUUAUCCAAGAUAUGCUUAAAGGAGGAAACCAGUACUGGACAACACAGGAAUGCUUUGGGCUCAACCAGUCUCAAAAACUGUUGCACCCUUCGACCUGUCUAAAAAUCAAAUAAGGUGAUAUUUAAGUGAUUUAACAAAUUACCUACAUCCAUUAGAGCCUCUUUUAUAGAAUUUGUACGAGAUUUACAAAUACUUUACAAAUUCUCUUUCUCUCUCUCA